rnacentral:lncRNA from 1 species
AGGUGGGCGGGUGGGCAUUUUAAAUUUUAAACAAUCUUGAAGAAAAACAAUCUCAGAGGUAGAGCAUUAGAAUGGUGUCAGCAUUCCAUUGGAAACAUUCCUCUGCUUCAUCUAAAUUCUUUUGUAAACCAAGUCUUUUUGCUGAUGUCCUGCCAAAUGCAUCUUUUGGCUUUUCUGAGGGAUUUGGAGCAGACAGCUGAUCCGGUUACUGUCUUGAAGUCCCAUGCACUCUGGGGGUGUGUUGUUGGCAUUGGUCAGCUACUUGAGGACAUGCUGCGUUGCCAUUUCAGUAACUCUGGCAAUCAUUUGCAUAGAGGAAGAUCAUGAGCCACUGAGUCUGCCAGACUUAAAGAGAAUUGGAAGACCCUCACCGUUUGGUAGAUGAGGGAGGGGGGUUUACUCAGCAAAGGAAAAUGGAAGUUCCUUAUUCCUGCCAGGAGAUCUGGUAAAGAUAUUUGUGCUAUACAAUGCAGGACUUUUCAUCAGGUGAAAAGUCCUUUACAUUUUCAAAUUCUCUUUAAAAAAUUUUGUUCAAACAAAAAGCUUUCCUUGAACUAAGGCAGGGUUUUUUUGACCUCUAAAGCCAGAAGAAAAUCUCCCUGCUGAAACAACAAACACAGUGUUUCAUUUUAUAAAGCCUUUGCUAAUUGUAAUGCUAUUUAAUUUAAUGUUUCUUUUUUUUUCCCUCCAUUUUACUUUUGCAAUUGGUCUUUAUGCUAAAGAAGAAGAAUUCUCGAGAAAAUAAAUGGCAACUGCUGUUUUCUUGUUUCCUGAGACUGUCCUAGACAGCCUAAUCAGAUGGUAACAGUUGUGUGGGGCAGGAAGACUUAAGCAGUAACCUUUAAUGUAUUGGAGAAUACUUCACGCUUGAACUUUCAAAGUUACCCAGCUGUCUACUAUGGGAAAGGACCCCCUCCAAUUCAGGGUGAAUAUUCUCCCCAGCUGCCAUGCAUUUUCCUACCCCAGGUCUUCAAAAACAUUUGGAGAGCUCCUUGUGGUCCUUGAGCAGAGUGGGUACGUGGAUGCCCAGUGCUUGGAGCAGUCAGACCACAAGUGUGGGAGAGAGCAGGCAGCCUCACAAAAUGCAUCACACCCAGAGGAAAGGUGAACCAGUCAGUAUACGGAUGCAUUUCUGAAAUAUUCAGCUUCUGAAAGGACUGCACGAGCCUCCGUGAGAUAGUCUGGGCAUCUGUGUGGCCACCAGCAUCAGGAUCACAGAUCUGCAGAAGGCAACACUGCACACAGUGUUUCAGAUCUGACAGAAGCAUAGCUACGGUUAAUACUAAAUGUAAAGCUGAACGAGAGCAACAACAAAAAGGUUGACAUCACCUUCCAUUUCAUAGUGGAUGAGAGCCUGCAUCAGCACUGACUUCUGAGCAAGAAAUCCUGGUGAAUAUAUUUCCUGAGUAAAGAGUCUAGCAUACCUAGUAUACAUCAAGUAAUUGAUUUUAGAAAUCAAUAGCAAAAUAAAUAGAAAUAAAUCAGUGGCCA